CCCAAAUAUGGGGAGCAGUCCCUCCUCUGGGCUAGGGACUUUGUUUCCUCCAUUGUCAUCACUGACUGUGAGCAGACUCUAGUCUAUGCAGACUAAUGAGGAGUUAUCAAAAUGAGCUCCAAACUCCGGAUUUGAGUUAAGGAUCAUAAAUUAACACAGAGAAAUAUGACUUUAGCAAUAAGUGACUGUUUGAAGCCCAAGUUGCCUUAAAACACGGAAUUUCAGUCUUUCAGCUCCUCUGCUAAUCUAGUGACUAAGAACAGGAUCUCACUGGAGCUCAAAGAUGUGGGGCACUGGGAAUACUCUGGGUCUGUCUGCUCACGGCUGAUUGCCUGAUCCCAGUUUUAUUAUACAGCUUAAAUACAGACCAGAAGAGGAGUUUGGGGCUUGACACCUGACAUCUUAACACCAGUUCCUGUUUCUUGAGGAAGGAAGAGGUAAAAUAAAUCAGCAUUUACUGUGUCCUUCUCCAUCCCCGGAAGUCUUCAUGAAGACCCUCUCAGCUUCUACUUGAACGUGAAUAUGAGCAACUGAUCAUCUGUUCUGCAGUCAGCCCCUGGCCUGAUUCUGACUCAUGGUAUUGACCUUCUCCAUCAUCACCUUCCACAAAUUUGAUUCCUAUCUAUUCUGCCUGGAAUGGUUCACGAGUAUAGUCACCAUUUAUGUUCCUGACGAAAGCAGGUGAAGGCAUUCGUGCAGAGAGGCGAUUUCCAUGCGUGCAGCAAAGUGUGUGCUGAGAUGAUGAGUCGCUGGAGACCAGGGUGGACUCUUCAGACCCAGGAUAGGCCUCUGGCAGGCACUCUAUCAGGCACUCCAAGCUGGGAAGUGACUCAGGGAGAGAAGGAAGAGAUUUCAGAGAAUGAACACAUAUAGAGAGAGAGGCAAGAGAUGCUGAGUGAGGAUGUCUUGCGUACUGAUAUCCUGAGGAAAGUGGGAAAAUUGGACCCUGGCCUGCUCUGCCAAUGCCGUGAAGCAGUCCGCACCAGGGGCUCCCUUGUGCCUGCGUAGCCUUUCCCAGGGUGUGCUCAAAUCCUGUGACCACUAGGUGUCCUAGGUCACAAUGGAGGACCCUGUGUCAUCUGCCUGGCGGACUGGAUCUCUGCCAUUGGCUGAGUCUUGUCACCAGGCCCAUCAUAAGCUCUGCCCACUCUUCCGGUGGGGAGACUCUUUCCAUGGUGAUGGCAAAGAAACCUUAGUCCCGCCCACCUGGCCUUGACUUCACCUACCUGGCCUGCUGACCCUCACUCAGACCUCUGUGUCGAUCAAAAUGAAUGUUCACCAGUGGCCCGGUGUCAGCAUCUGGUAUAAAGGAUUCGGGACCUUGCCUGAGGCAGAAGGCAGCCUAGGUCUGCGGGUACCUGGAAGUCUAGUGACUUGUGACGCUGCUGCCAGUGAGAAAUGGUGACUCCCACACUCACAUAUCCCCUGGUGGCAGAAUGAUAGUGAUGGGUGGAGAAACAUCGCUCCGGAGCACUCGCGCAGUGGGGCACCGGCCAGAGGCCAGGGCCAGUAGUGGACGUCGCGGAGCUGAAUGGCGAGCCAGUGAAGGGCCCAAGGAUUUCUCCAAUGAGGCAAAAUGCAGAUCAAGCCAAGGAACAUAAAGAUAAAGCAGCUGAAGAAAUUAAAAAGGUUACUCAAGAACAUAGUUAAAAAUUUAAUAAGCUGCAAGAAACCAUAGAGAGACUGCAAUCAGAGAUUCAGAAGAUUAACAAUAAAAUUACAGAGUUAGAAAACUCAAUAGAAAGUAAGAAGAGCACAACUGAGGAAUUGGAAGGCAGAAUUACUGAGAUUGAAGAUGAAACUCUUGGGACUAAUAUAUUUGAAGAGAAAGCAGAUAAAAGAAAUUUAAAUGAAGAAAUCCAAAGAAUCAUGUGGGACUUUAUCAAGAGAAAUAACUAUGAGUGAUUUCAGUACCAGAACAGGGAGGGCUAACAGAAAAUACAAAGGGAACUGUUGAAGAUUUGUUGGCAGAAAACUUCCAUGAUAUCAUGAAAGAUGCUCAUCGAAUUCCACAUAAGGUAGAUCUCAAAAGAAAGUGACCGAGACACAUAAUAAUCAAACUUGCCAAAAUCAAAUAUAAAGAGAAUUUUAAGAGAGGCUAGGGAUAAAGGAAGUCACCAACAAAGGAGAGUAAAUAAUAAAAAACUUGGACUACUCAGCAGAAAUCAUGCAGGCAAGAAGGCAAAGGGAUGACUUACACAAAAUAUUGAAGGAAAAAAAUUGCCAGCCAGGAAUCAAACCAUAACCCUGGCCCUCUGGCCUUCGGGCCCUCUGGCCUUAGCCCUCUAACUCUAGCCCCUAAGCCCUGAGCCCCAAAGCCCCUAAGACCCUAAGCCCUUAGGUCCUAACCCCCAAGGCCCUAAACUCUAACCCUAACCCAAACCGUAACCCCUAUAGCCUAAACUCUACAACCUAAACACCUACACCCCAAAACACUACACAUCAAAACCCUACACACUAAACCCUAUACUCUAAGCCUCAAACCCUAAACCCAAACCUCAAAUCCCAAACCCUAAACCUAACCGUAAACCCUAAACCCUAACACCUAACCCUAACCCCUAACCACCCUAACCCUAAUGACCCUAACCCUAACCCUCGAACCCUAACCCUCUAACGCUAACAUGAAACCCUAAUCCGAAACCCUAACCCUCUAACUCUAACCUCUAACCCUCUAACCCUAGCCCUAAUCCUAACCCCAACCUCCAAACCUAACCCCAAACCCUAAACCUCAAAUCCCUAGCCCUAAACCUAAGAAUGAGCCUAAGCCUAACCCUAUCACUUAACUCUAAACCCUAAACCAUAACA